AUGAGCUCGCGUCUGAUUAGCUUGUUGGAGUGGUAACGGCACACCAAGGCGACGAUCAGUAGCUGGUCUGAGAGGAUGAUCAGCCACACUGGGACUGAGACACGGCCCAGACUCCUACGGGAGGGAGCAGUGGGGAAUUUUCCGCAAUGGGCGAAAGCCUGACGGAGCAAGACCGCGUGAGGGACGAAGGCUCUGGAUUGUAAACCUCUUUUCUUAGGGAAGAAAUUCUGACGGUACCCAUCGAAUCAGCAUCGGCUAACUCCGUGCCAGCAGCCGCGGUAAUACGGAGGAUGCAAGCGUUAUCCGGAAUUAUUGGGCGUA
rnacentral:rRNA from 1 species